rnacentral:rRNA from 1 species
GACAGAGGCCCCAAGCGUUAGGCGGAAUCACUGGGCUUAAAGCGUGUGUAGGCGGAUCGUUAAGUGUCUUGUGAAAUCCCACGGCUCAUCCGUGGAACUGCUGGGCAUACUGGCGAUCUUGGGCCAACUAGGGGCAGCCGGAACAAGCGGUGGAGCGGUGAAAUGCGUAGAUAUCGCUUGGAACGCCGAAGGUGAAAACAGGCUGCUGGGGUUGUGCCGACGCUGAGACACGAAAGCCAGGGGAGCAAACGGG